CUUAUGAAGAGCGGCUGAGGGAAAGGCCCUUUGAAGCCCGGCAACCUGCGCGCAAUUCGAAGUGCGCGCAAGGUGCUAAAUCCUGCGGUAUGAACCGGAAGAUAAGG
rnacentral:ncRNA from 1 species